rnacentral:rRNA from 1 species
GACGAACGCUGGCGGCGUGCUUAACACAUGCAAGUCGAACGGUAAGGCCCUUCGGGGUACACGAGUGGCGAACGGGUGAGUAACACGUGGGUGAUCUGCCCUGCACUUCGGGAUAAGCCUGGGAAACUGGGUCUAAUACCGGAUAGGACUCCGGACUGCAUGGUCUGGGGUGGAAAGCUUUUGCGGUGUGGGAUGGGCCCGCGGCCUAUCAGCUUGUUGGUGGGGUGACGGCCACCAAGGCGACGACGGGUAGCCGGCCUGAGAGGGUGACCGGCCACACUGGGACUGAGAUACGGCCCAGACUCCUACGGGAGGCAGCAGUGGGGAAUAUUGCACAAUGGGCGCAAGCCUGAUGCAGCGACGCCGCGUGAGGGAUGACGGCCUUCGGGUUGUAAACCUCUUUCAGCAUCGACGAAGCGAAAGUGACGGUAGGUGCAGAAGAAGGACCGGCCAACUACGUGCCAGCCGCCGCUGUAA